UACGUAGGGUGCAAGCGUUGUCCGGAAUUAUUGGGCGUAAAGAGCUCGUAGGCGGUUCGUCGCGUCGGCUGUGAAAACCCGGAGCUCAACUCCGGGCCUGCAGUCGAUACGGGCGGACUUGAGUGUUGCAGGGGAGACUGGAAUUCCUGGUGUAGCGGUGAAAUGCGCAGAUAUCAGGAGGAACACCGGUGGCGAAGGCGGGUCUCUGGGCAACUACUGACGCUGAGGAGCGAAAGCUGGGGUAGCGAACAGG
rnacentral:rRNA from 1 species